rnacentral:rRNA from 1 species
CGCGUGGAUGAAGAAGGCCUUCGGGUUGUAAAGUCCUUUCGUGGGGGACGAAAAGGCGGGUCCUAAUACGANCUGCUGUUGACGUGAACCCAAGAAGAAGCACCGGCUAACUCCGUGCCAGCAGCCGCGGUAAUACGGGGGGUGCAAGCGUUAAUCGGAAUCACUGGGCGUAAAGGGUGCGUAGGCGGUACGUUAGGUCUGUCGUGAAAUCCCCGGGCUCAACCUGGGAAUGGCGGUAGAAACCGGGGCACUAGAGUAUGGGAGAGGGUGGUGGAAUCCCACGUGUAGCGGUGAAAUGCGUAGAGAUCUGGAGNAACAUCA